UCACAAAGACGAAGUUAACCGGCAA
rnacentral:piRNA from 1 species